rnacentral:sRNA from 1 species
UUGUUCUUUUGUUUUUUGGUUUGUGAUGAUUUUAUGGGAUGCGAAAAAAAA